UUGAAGUAAAGUGUUUGACAAGGUUCCGUAGGUGAACUGCGGAAGAUCAUGU
rnacentral:rRNA from 1 species